rnacentral:rRNA from 1 species
GUCCACGCCCUAAACGAUGAGUGCUAGUUGUCGGCAAGUUUACUUGUCGGUGACGCAGCUAACGCAUUAAGCACUCCGCCUGGGGAGUACGGCCGCAAGGUUAAAACUCAAAGAAAUUGACGGGGGCCCGCACAAGCGGUGGAGCAUGUGGUUUAAUUCGAAGCAACGCGCAGAACCUUACCCACGUUUGACAUCCGGUGCUACCUGGAGAGAUCCAGGGUCCUUCGGGCGCCGAGACAGGUGCUGCAUGGCUGUCGU